rnacentral:rRNA from 1 species
UCCGUAGGUGAACCUGCGGUGGGAUCAUUAUCGAUCUACCAUAGACGCGCGUCAGCGCGGCUAUGGCGCUGGCAGGCGGUCUUGACUGGCUGUCGGCACACCCAACGUGCGGAAAAGAGUACUAUCUGGUCGUUGCUCCUUUGGGGCGGCGUCCUACUCGCUGUAAAGCACUGCCGGACCACAAAAGUAUACUGGUGAGACACAAUCUACACACAAUAGUUACAACUAUACAUGGUGGAUCACUUGGCUCUCGCAUCGAUGAAGAACGCAGCGAAUUGCGAAAAGUAUCGUGACUUGCACCCGCGUGAAUCAACGAGUAUUCGAACGCACCUUGCGCCCUGUCAUUUAGGCAGGGCAUGUCUGUAUGAGCACCAGCCCAUCCUCCCCACUGCCGCGGCCUGUCGAUUCGGCUUGCCGACGGCGGCGGGGGAUUUAUGAGCGCUCCACCUCGCCAAGAGGUGGUCGCUUGAAACACGGGAGAGCCCCCCCUCUAUCCAGAAGGGAGGCAGGGACUGGCCGUCUCGAGCCGGCUAUUCUGCCGCUGCUGCCGAGACUGCGAGCUUUUAUGGUUGGGCACCCGCCCACUACUCUUGCUUGCAGUUGCCCGAGGCCGCAGCGGCGCACGCUGCUCACCAACCAGACGCGCCUGGCACCCAGCACUGCUCCGCCAAGCUGCAAACCAUACUACCACAAUGGUAUCAUAUCAGGCAAGACUACCCGCUGAACUUAAGCAUAUCAAUAAGCGGAGGA